rnacentral:rRNA from 1 species
CCCUUAGAUGUUCUGGGCUGCACACGUGCUACACUGGCAGGUUCAGCGAGCUUCAUGCCCUGAUCUGAAAGGAAUGGGAAAUCUUUUCAAAACCUGCCGUGCUUGGGAUAGAUGUUUGCAAUUAUUCAUCUUCAACGAGGAUUGCCUUGUAAGCGCACGUCAUCAGCGUGCAUUGAAUACGACCCUGUAUUCUGUACACACCGCCCGUCGCUACUACCGAUUGAAUGGUUUAGUGAGAUCUCCGGAUUGGCUUCCUUGGUACCUUCGCGGGUCCAACGUGAAGCCGAGAAGCUGCUCAAACUUGAUCAUUUAGAGGAAGUAAAAGUCGUAACA